rnacentral:rRNA from 1 species
CGUGUAGGCGGUUUAUUAAGUCAGAUGUGAAAGCCCACGGCUUAACCGUGGAACUGCAUUUGAUACUGAUAGGCUUGAGUAUGAGAAGGGGUAGUGGAAUUCCCAGUGUAGCGGUGAAAUGCGUAGAUAUUGGGAAGAACACCAGUAGCGAAGGCGACUACCUGGCUCAUUACUGACGCUAAUGCGCGAAAGCGCGGGGAGCAAACA